rnacentral:lncRNA from 1 species
UAACAAUAUUUGAAUCGCUUUAUUUAAUCUACAUUACUAUGUUAGCACUCAACAUUCUCAUAGCCAUGUCCUAUUUACAACAUAUUGUGGUGUUUGUUCUAACACAUUGUUUAAGAAAUGACCUGAAAACUUUUUUUUUCCUUUAAAAAUCCAACAAUGUAAGAGAAUUUGAAAUUUAUAAUGCAGAAUUUUUUUUAUUCAAGGCAUUCAUUGCAACAUUAUUGAAAAGAUGUGCCGCAUACAAAAUAAACGGUUUGCUAUAGUACAAACUGAUUUAAAUUAAAUGCAUAAUGUUUUGAUAUAGGAAAUAGAAUACCAAUCUUAGAAUAUAUAUAUAUACAGAGAACAGCAGUGUAACAAAUGAAUGCAUUAAAAUAGUUAUGUACACGAGGUAAAGACACCUUUAGAGUUUGCGGAGAUUGUUAAAAUAUUUCAUAAUUGUGAUGGCACUACAGGAAUUAAAGGAAUGCAUUAUAUGGCACAGUCCAGAGAAAUAUAAAAGUUACUAGAGAAACUUUUCCUUAUUAGGUUUGCUACAAUCAAUUUUCGUCCCAGCAUCCUGAAUGUAUUGUAAAAAGAAAUAUAUAAAGUGUGUUAAAGAAUUGGUCAGACUUUACUUAAAGAAUGUAUUACCAACUCUUGAAAAGUGUAGUAUCCUAUUUAAAAAAAAGUAAGAAAUAUAUUAUUUUCAAAGUUAAAAUGCUAGUGCUGUAUGACAUUUCAUAUUGGGGAUAUCCAGCAUUGUGAAAUUAAUGAAAAGGUGCUUUAACCCCUUAAGGACCAAACUUCGGGAAUAAAAGGGAAUCAUGACAUGUCACGUACCCUUAAGGGGUUAAACAACAUGAUUUUAUCAUCUAGAAUGUUAUGUAGCAAAUUACUGACAUUGGUGGUAUGCACUGUAGAAUAAUCUCCAUGGAAAGUUGAUAUUUGAAUUUGGACAAUAAAAUUAAGAUACUUUCACAAUAAUCCUUUGUACACUAAGCAUAUACAAUAAAUCAUGACAGUUUGCCAUGGCAUUAUAAUUACAAUUUUCAAAGAAGCAAAUAUAUUUAUAUUCAUCAGCAUAAUAACUGAAAUAUGUGUUUUGUUAACCUGCUCCAAGCUGACACAGUCGGAUGGGCUAGUGCACUCCUGUAUUAGCCAAAUUCUAGCAGAGGGGCUAUGCUGUAGGUUCCAGAAGAGCAGUGGUCUUUAUCAAACUAUUUGAAAAUUGUAUUUUGUCCCCAUGUUUUUUCAAUGGAUCUUCGCACCAUUUAAAGUACAAUGAGCUGAAAUGGUUAUACACAUAGUGCCUCUUUUAGAUAUAAAUGUGGAUGAACCACACCUGUAUCUAGCUUGUAAAAGUAAAAAUAUUUUACAUUUUGAAGAAUUUAUACUAUAAACAUCCAAGUGAAAUUACAAAAGAAAGCUUAAAAAUCAAAUAUUUUGGUAAUUUAAAUAGGAACAUUCUGCGCAUGUGAUAAGAUAUUUAUUGGUCCUUACACUAUGUACAUAAAUUAGAGCAAUUUACUACAAAUAAUAAAAACACACUCACUACUGUGCAAGAAUUAAACUAUAGGAUAACAGAACAUUUAUCAUUUAUGCAUAAAUAAAAACAAACAAAAAUAAAACACUUUUGCUUACUCCAUUAUAACACUGUUUACUCAACAAGAAAAAUUAAGGAAAAUUAACAUUUAGAAUAGUUUUUAUUUAAAAAAACAAAAACAAACACAAAUCUCUAAAUAGUGAUGCAGACUAUUUUGGAAUUGAUUAAUUGGCACUUCAAUUUUGAUGACUGAAUGCUACAUAAAAGUAAUGGUCGGUACAAAAUACAUUAACUGAACUUAUAAAGCGAAAAUGCAUCACUACAUUAACCUAGUACAGGCAGACACCUAUAGUCAAAAAUAUAUAUGUAUAUACACAAAACCCAUGUAAAUAUAUAUAUAUAUAUAUAUAUAUAUAUAUAUAUAUAUAUAUAUAUAUAUAUAUAUAUAUAUAUAUAUAUAUAUAUAUAUAUAUAUAUAUAAACACAUGAUCAAAAGUAAUUUGGGUUCUCUAGAUUUCAUAUCAGCAGUAUGGAAGAUUGAGGUGUGUUUCCUACCUUGCAUCACAUUUCCCAGAUUUGUGACUGCCCACCAUCUAGUUCCUGUUUUGCAUAUUAGCUCCUCUUUAGGAACAUUUUGGUCUGAUUUUGGAAACAUGUCAAUAUGUCCACAUAUAUGUAUACAAAUGUACCGAAACAUAACAAAAUACAUUAAAAACACGCAUACAGUCAUGUCAAAGUCCAAUAGAAGGCUGAACUUUUUGCAUAAUAUGUUUACGGUCGCAUGUGUACUCCACCAAAAAUUCCUCAUAAUUAGAAGCGCUAACACAUUAUGCAUUUAAGAAAGGAUAGUAAGAACAAACAAUACAUGUAUGUAUGCACUGUAUUGCACACGCACACACAAUUCAAACUAUUUUAUUUAGUGGCAAUUCUGACUAUAGGCACUGGGACUGAUUGGGUACAGCCUAAAAUUACUGUAAACCACUGGAGGAAACCUGGAAUCACAUCUGUGUAUCAUCUUGAUAUAGAACACAGGUAGGGACCUGAAAUGUUUUCCACAAAAUUAAUUUAUUUUAAAACUAGAAAAAGAUUAUAGUUUGAGGAUCCAUAAGUGUCCCAGUUAGAAAAAAAAAAAAAACACCAAGCAACCAUAACAACCACAGUGUGCAGCAAUGGUUAUUUGCAUCCCCCUUCCCCCCUAAAUUGUAAAUGGUCAAGCCAUUUUCUGUUUGACUUCUUACCAUGACUUCUCCCUGCACCUUACUUUCUGGCCUGAGAGCUGGAAGCUCCUGCUAUGUGCUUCUGUUAGCUCUCCUGAGUUAGCCUAGGAGCCAGCCCUGCUCUGUAAGGUUUCAGAUCACUAGUAGCCAACGAGCUUACUCUUGCACCAGCUCUAAAAAGGGAGAGGAAUAGAGCCCAGUGGACCUCUGGCACACACUUUUGUGGUUAUGGUGCUUAGAAUGUUCCUUUAAAGCCUUAUAUACAUACAUACAUUAGGGGUGACCAAAUGGUAAUUAAUAUGCCUUAGAACCAAGCUGAAGUCCUACAUCAUCUUGGGACCACUGGCAUACACACCCCUAUAUAAAUGACAAGCUUUAUCGGCCAAAAAAAAAAAAAAAAGACACUAGGCCCACUGAAUAUUCCAUGACAAUGAGAUUUGUUUUUUGUCAACUGCUAUAUUUCCCUACUUGUCACAUAUAACAGGAUUUUUUAUAAAAGGUUAUAUAUAAUAUGUAUGUGUAUGUAUAACAUACACACAAAGCAUUAGAUAAGUAAAAACAUACUUAUUCCUUUGAUAAAUAUACACUCAAAAAUAAAAACGGUAUUAAUAAUUUCAUAAAUCUCCUUUAAAAUGUUGGUUCAAAUUAUAUAUGUUGUAUUGUAAUACUGUGGUUAUAGUAUUCCUCCUCUAAAAGAGACACACACACACACACACACACACACACACACAAAGAAAAAGAAUGGUUAGAGUGCAAAAAAAAAAGCGACAAAUGAAAACAAAAAUAUAAUAAAUUGCACAAAAUAUUGUCAAAAAAUCAGACAUAAAGGUACCUAUGACCUAUUGAUAAAUUUCCCCCACUGUCUUUUGCCUCAGAAAGUUUUCACAGCAUUACAGUAAAGGGACAGGAACUGAAAUAAUGAAGGCAGCUGAAUAUAUUGGAUGCUUACAGUGGAAAGCAAUGUGACCUAUUAAUUUUGGGCAGGUUAGAGAUAUAUAUAGAUAUAUAUUCAAAUGUGCUGCCCAAAGAAACAGUCAAGUGUGUAUAUGUACUUGUGUGUCUGUUACACUCCAAGGCAGCAAGAAAUUUAUUUAUAUUUUUUUAAAUGUUGCAACACAAGAAGACACAGUGUACUAUGGGAAAUAAAAUGUCUAAAUCUUUUGAAACACCCAUAAACUACUCUACUUUUGGUUUCAUGGUUUUUUUACAUCUCCAGAACACCUCUAGUAAUGCAAAGUUCAAGGUUUUUCAUUUUCUACAAAACACGCAUGCCUUCUUCCUCUAUUCACUGCUCUGUACUUUCCAUAAAGAAUGCUAAGUGUAUGUAUGAUACAGCCGAGGAAGAGUUAUGUGGAUUGUUUAUAAAUAAAUGUUUUACAGCAUGGUCGGGCAUCUGUUUGCAUGUAUCUAUUCAGACUAAAAAUCAAAACACCAACACUACAUUAAGGGGAACAAAGCACUUGUAAAGGCGAACAACUAGCCAUGCAAAGUUAAUUAAUUAGGUUUGCAAUAACUUCAUAUACAGUCCCUAUUUCAUAUAUGUGAACUAAAAACUUUAAAAAAAAGAAGAAGAAAAAAAAAGGAAUUUUCAGCUAUUCUUGGUCAUUCUGCAACCAGACACUUGGUGUUUAAGGUUUCAUGUUGCAAGGGGCAAAAAGAAAGCUUUAAAGCAAAACACUUAAUAGUAUAACAGGUAUCAAACAUAUGAAGUUAGAACAAUGUUCAAUUCACAGAUAGACAGACAACCUAUAGCGCUAAUAACACUCUUCCUGUAAGAAAAUGAAUUCAACAGUAGAGUGCCAGCUGGAAAUCUUAAUUAGCACAAAGAAAUAAUAAACACUCAAAUUAAUGAAUAGAUAAAUGCUUAUCAAACCAACUCCAUAACAAAAAAGUGGUGGUCAAAAACAGAAAAACGUAACUGAAGCCAAGUGGCUAAUCCUCUGCUUAAGAGAUUCCCUAUUGUUCAGACUCUAAUAAUAUUAAUAACACGGUCAAUGUCUGAAAUUGCAUCGUAUUAUAUGUGUGAGCAGAGAAAAAUGUCCAGACCACACUAAUCUAAAUACCCUUGUCUAGAUAUAUAGCUUAAAAUGGAG